rnacentral:lncRNA from 1 species
UCAAUUCCUCUCCUCUCUCAAGAGUAAAAUGGAGACUAGGCUUUCAUUCAAGAUCAAGAAUCAAUCUCCUAAGUCCAAGAUUUCCAAAGAACAAAUCAAGAUUCGAGUUCUACUCUUCAAACCUUAUAAUAUAAGGUACGUGGGGUUUUUCUAAAUCUACAUGGGCAUGGUAUAUUCUUAUUAAUCAUGUUAAAGGUUUAGAAAUUUUGAAUUUACAAAAAGGGGGUUUUGAAUUUAUAAUUAGAUUCAUGCUUUUAAAGUUUUUUAUGAUAUUAAUUUGGUCUUGAGGCCUUUCCCCCAAAUCUGAUUUAUAACCAUGUGUAAGUAGAUAUAUGUGUGAUUUUGAUGAGUUUGAAUUAUGAAUUGAGACCAUGAACUAUUUGAAAUCCCUCUCUUAUUUACAAGUCUCUUAACUUCGUAAGAUAUGAUGUAUUCGAAAUGUGAUAUUGGAAAUAUAAUUCAAUAUAAAAUCCUUGACUUUGUUUAUAACUUGAUUAUGAUUUUUGAAUUGAAGAGAGAGGGUUUUACAUGUUGGUAAAUGCUGAAUAUAUAUAUAUGUGUGUGUGUGUGUGUGUGUGUGUUUGUCUAAAUGAUUGAAAAUAAUGACCUUUGCAUAAUUUGAUAAAUGUUUUGGAAGAAUGAAUCUUUCGGAAUUGUUUGAAGUAUGGUGGUCUAAUCUUUGUAUUUUGAAAGAUAAAACUGUAAAGGAUAUUUUAUGGCUUAGAAUUAUAACUAUGACGAUACCAAAUCAGAUAAAGUCAUGAUAAAACUCAGAACAGGAUACAGAUUUCAUAUUAGAUUUCAGAUUUUGAAUUCAAAAAGAUGCAUGUUUAGAAUGGGUUAAAAACUGGGCACUAAGAGAAUUAGGUGGUUACUCGAAGAAGGCGUAAGUCAUAUGAUUCAUCGCUCAAAACUGGGUUUUGCCGAUACGGGUAUAUUAUUAUAUGCUGGCCUAGUGCCCUGGGGCUUAUCAGAUUCAGAUACUUUAACCCUUGCGGCAAACUUGGGUUGGGGGCUUGGCCGUCGAGUUAAUGGCGGAUCCCAUAUUGUCCGUGGGAAACUUUCAGAUAUGUAGGGUGUACCACUUACCUUAGAAGUAAAAAAAUAAAGAAUGGUUUCACAUCUACAGAUAUGCAUUGAAUGAUUAUUUUAAGUUUCCGAUGUAUUUUAAAUUAUUUCUUGCUUAACAUUUUAAUGAAAUGCUCUCACCUACAUUGUAUAUAAAAGUACAUUAUUUUGUAUUGCUCUGCAUAACAGUACAUCUGUAUUGACCCUCCCUCCAUCUCAAGAUUUGAGGCACAGUCUCGGGGUCCAGUUCAGCAAUAGGUUUGAGUGCGUCGGAAGUUGCAAUUGGUGAGCCUCCAUUACUUUGGAAGGCCUAUAUUAGAAUUUGUUAGCGUUAUUUUAUUUUGAUCCAUGGCCUGACUGGGGGCUUAUGCCAGAUUUUAGACAAAUGUCAUUUUCAGUUGUUAGAAAUUCUGCAGACUGAUGUUAGAUGUUCUUUAGAGGUUUAUGUUUUUCAUUUCAGAUUGUUCGAUUGAAUUAUGAUAUCGACCAUGAUUCCAUUUUGUUUUGUAUUUUCACAGUUCCUCGUUAUAAAGGAAUGGUGUAUAUGAUUGCAAGUUAGAAGGGCCCUCAGGCCUUCAUGGUUCGAGAUCCCGUCAUGGCCAGGGCCCUAAUUCGAGUUGUGACAAACUUGGUAUCAGAGCACAGUUCAUGAUUCUAAGGUGUCUGCGAAAUCAGGUAAAGUCUUGUUUAUGGGUGUGUAGCGCGCCACACUGAUAAGCAGAAGGCUAUAAGUCGUUUAGGAAUGUCUCUUUCUUCAUGUUCUGGUUCAUGUUAUGGAGUCAAAAUAUUCCUCUUUCAUACUCUAAUUCGUGCCAUGGUGUCGCCCAUACGAAAGAAAAGUUAUCCUAAUUAUUUUCUUACUCUAUAGUUCCCAGAUAAUGCUCUCUGAUUUACUAGCAGAACUUCAGAAGUCACAUAAAGGGCUUGAGAAGAGCUCCCUAGUGUGUCAUAAGUCCCUCAAGUUUAAAGUUAUGUCCUCAUUCUUAUGAGGCGUUCAGUUAAGACAGAGUAAGAUGUGUAUUAUUAUGUCAUUGAAUAUUAUGUGUUAAGUUUCUAUCUCUUGUAAUCUUGUUAUCAUUGGGUUAUUGAAACUAAAAAUCUAGUGAAGCCGUGUGGGGCUCUUUCGAUUCACUAGCAUAGUUGUUUUGUUAUUCAUCUCAUUUUCCUUUUCAAAACACAAAAUCAAAGUCUAGUGAAGCCGUGCGAGGCCUAUUUCGAUUCACUAGCAAUGUUUUGUUCAUCUUGUUGUUCUUGUGUUGGUUUGAAACUAAGGGUUUAGAGGUGUAGUGACAAAAAAAAUGGUAAGAGCGAUUUAUUGAAUAUAUAUAGCUGAAUCGUUUUGCAUAUGAUUGAGUUAGUAAUAAAGUGAUAUAUCCUUGUGUGUUAGGUUAGUAGAAGGUAGAGAAGGAGUUAUUGGUUAAGGUAAAUUAUUUUUUUUGUUUGAAGUAUGAAAACAGUUGUUGAUAGUGUUUGUUGUGCUAGAAAAGUAUAGGUUAUUGGUGAAAGUACUUUGUGGAUGAAUGUUAUCAAUUUAGUCUUCCUUGAGGUUGCAAGAGGGAGUUUAGUUGAAACUAAUAGAGCUAUGAAAGAAUUUUAGGUAUAUAGAUAGGUAAAUAAUAAUAAUGUGUAGAAGGAGGAUGCGUUAAUAGAUUGUAAAUAAGAUAGGCCAUAUGAUUAUGAUCAAUUAUUAUUGUUAUGAGAUUCUAGUGGGCUAGUGUUUCUCGAUGUCCUAUUCUAUAGCUUCCUAGUGAGAAUUGUAUGUAAGGUGGGUUAUUAUAUAAGAUUAAGGUUGACCAUGUCUAUUAUAUGACUUUACCCUCUUGACCCUCUUUUCUUUAGUGGUUACAAACCAGUACUUCAUGUGAAAAGGUAUGAAGUAGAUCUUAAGCUAAUGUAGUGGUGUCAUGGAGGGGAUUGUGAUUGUAUGUAGUAGUUAAAUGAAAUGAGUAUUUGGAGUUGAUUUCUCAAUUUGAUGGACUGGUAUAUUAUGUUGCAUGCCUUACUUUAUUUGGGUAGAUGUUUGAUGCUAGAUUAUACGCUUGAAUUGUAGAUGUAGGAUAUGAUGGUAAGAAUAGUAUCUUAUGAUUAAUGAUGUAUGUUUUAUGGGAAUGAAUUAGUAAGCUUGAUAUGAUUUGUGAAAGAGCCCAGAUUAAUACUUGAUAAAACGUUUAAGUGCUAAUUGUGAGGUAUAUGUAUACAUCAGAACUAGUAUUAAAAUUAUGAUUUUUGGGUGAGUCAUUAAGUGGAUAAGGGCAUAAGUAUAUAAGCAUAAGUUGCACCCCCCCCCAUGGUAGUAUGGCAUUACUCGUUAGGUAAGAUUUUAUGAUAUGAGUUAUACGAUUAACAGUCUAAUGUUAGAAAGUUAGUAGUGGAGAGUGGAUUUUUAUGUGAUAAGGAGUGACGUUGUAUAUGCUCUUGGGACUACGAGUUGUGAGUUGAUGAUGAUAGAGGAUGGUGUAAAGCAAUGCCCUCAGAGUAUACUUAAAAAGGGAAAGUGUAGCAUUUAUGUGUAUAGUUUUACAAAGUUUGUUAAUUUGUAAGUUAUGUGAUUUGAGGUGUAAUGCUAGUAUUCUAAGGAGUUGAAGAAGAGGUGUUGAGCGAUUCAAAGCAUAGACGUUCAUGCCCAUAUUGAUGUUAGUCAUGAGUUAUGAUUUUGGAGUUAUAGGAAGUCAUGAUUAGUAUCCCUGAGGGGGAAAUGUCCCAUAGAGGAUUUAGUGUCUUUAUAUUAAAAAAAUGAAUAAGAAGAGUUGUAUUCAUGUAUAUGUCGAUAUCUCUUGGUUAUAGGGUGUGUGAAUGCGUACACUAAUGGGCGUGGGGGUUGUUGAGUGAUGGAUAUAGCGAAAGUUAAGAGUAACAUUUACCCAAAACCAAAGCUUUCGGGGUAUAGAUCAUUAGGGAGAGUUAGAGUUUAAGUAUAUGGUGAUGUCUGAUUUAUGUUGAGAGUUGUGACUUUGAUCUAAGGGGGAGAUGGUGAGCUACGGUAGUUUUCCAAAUUUUCUCAUUAUGGCAAGUUAAUGAAGAGUCAUGAUGAACCUACUCCUAUUCAAGAAUAUUCCUCCUACUUCAGUUUAGGAGUUCAUUCUACCAAGGUCUUAUUAGUUCAACUCCUGCCGAUGUUUAAGGUUUGAGUUCUCUAUGUAUGUCAUGCCUUAACCCGACGUCAAAACAAGAAGCAAUAAUGUUCCUCAAUGACCCAAUACGUAUCCAAGCUAUAUUUUAUGUUGCUCGUGAUCCAAACCUAUGUCUCACAACGUGCUUGGUCAUAAGGAAAUAUGUUCCUGUAUGUCACUGAAUCAUUUUAUGUUGGAAUUAGACAAAGCGGUAAAGUUUUGCGAACUUAUUACUAUUUCAGAUCUGAAAAUGAGAAGCAAUAGCUUCAAGUAUUCACCUUUGUAUCAAUCAUUGACUUUAUGAAUUCGAACCUUAUGUUAUACAAAUCAUGAGAUUUGUGCACCCGUGUUUCUCACCAUAGUUUGUCCUAAGAAAUCAUGUUGUGUUGUGGUUGUGCCGAAUGACUCUAUGCUUACGAUUCAGACACCUGAUAUCUGAAGCACCCUGUCUCUUUUCUAUUGUAUCUUUACUUCAUGUCCCUCCUUGAGUAGUAUUAUAAGUAUAAUUUAUGAAUUAAUAAGUGUUAAUUCCAUUCAUGACGUUUAAGCUCAGGUCCCUCAAUGACCCUCCGUAUGGUAGUAUGAUGGUGGUUGUGAAAGCGUGGUGAUGUGUUAUGUAGACGAGUAGAUGUUCUUGGAAAAAAAUUGGUGUGAAUUCUCGAGGUAAGGUUAUAGGUGAAAGGGGAAAAGAAGGAGAUGAGCUUUUGUUAUGUGGAAAAAGUCAGGAAGGAGAUAUAUGCCGAAAAUUUUUGUGAAUGUGAUUGAAUUUCCUGAUCUUAGUGGGGGAAAAUCCAUGAAGUGGGUGUAGUAAUGAUAGGCUUGAAUGUUGAGAUUGAUGAAAACUCAACCCAUGUACUAUGCGGUUAGUAUUCCUUAAAUUAAAACCCAAGGGUGUUUGACGAUAGUGAUAAGGUAAGGUAACAUUCUUAAGGGGAUGUAAAGUACAAGGUCCUAUAGCUUAAGUUAGCACCUUUUAACUCUGAGUUAGGCUUCAAUAUAGCAGUACUAAGUAGUGGGACUCAAAUUCUUGUGGCUAGAAGUGUGGUUGGGGAUUUGUAAGUUGAAAAGUGUGAAGUAUGUAAUUUAUUGUUUGGGCCGUAGACAAAUACUGUCUACAAGUUUAAGUAUUUUCAUUGUACCUUGUAAGAUGGAGAAUGUUCAUAUUCUUAUGCCCCACGAGAAUCUUAUCUCAUGUAUCGUACCAAUCUUAAUCAUGGUCUAUGAUCAUCAAAUAAACCCCUUCCAUGUGUGGUGCUGAUGAUGAUUCAUAGAAAUCAUGUGCAAGAUCAUCCCUAUGUAAAGUCUCAUUGCCUCAUGUUUUGUGCUUUCAUGUUUCGCUAGGGGUUAUCAUGAAGCUUGUUUGAUUCCUUUGCAUAUUUUAUCGAGGAAAAAUGUUCAAUGUGAGACUGCAUUCUUUAUUCGGGGAUCCCAAGGGGGAGAUAAUGUAACACCCCGCAUUUUUUUAGGGCUAGAAAUCGAAGCAUCGUUCCUACGCUUAUUGAACCGAACUAGAUGAUUCUUUGUUAAUAUAUGUGUGGUGAUAAAUUCUACAGUGUUGGAAUACCUUUGGAUAUGAAUUGAGGUCACAAAAAUCCCCUAACUCAAAGACGAGUUGAAAACAAUUCCAUCGAGUACGUUUUAGUGGACACUUCAACUUGGGUCAACUUUCGUUGAGGAUAACUUCUGUUAUAUAAUGAACUGGGUGGCCUUAUGUAUAUCAAAUGAAAGGUCUUUGAGUCCUCUUUCCAACGCAAUUUAUUUCGUCGAAAUCUAACAUCGGAGUAAAAAGUUAUACCCAAUUUACUUCAGCAUGUCAGUCUGUCAAACCCAGGGACUGCUGCGGCGUUUUUUAUUUCCUUAGGGCUAUUUUUGUAUUUUUGUCAACCCAAACUUCUUCCACACGAUUUAAAUCACCCAAAACACUCUAUAAUCUAUUUCUUUUAUCAGUUUUAAUCUCUCAAUUCCUCUCCUCUCUCAAGAGUAAAAUGGAGAAUAGACUUUCUUUCAAGAUCAAGAAUCAAUCUCGUAAGUCCAAGAUUUCCAAAGAACAAAUCAAGAUUCGAGUUUUACUCUUCAAACCUUGUAUUCUAAGGUACGUGGAAUUUUUCUAAAUCUACAUGGGUAUGGUAUAUUCUUAUUAAUCAUGUUAAAGGUUUAGAAAUUAUGAAUUUACAAAAAGGAGGUUUUGAAUUUAUAAUUAGAUUCAUGCUUUUAAAGUUUUUGAUGAUAUUAAUUUGGUCUUGAGGCCUUUCCCCCAAACCAGAUUUAUAACCAUGUUUAACUAGAUAUAUGUAUGAGUUUGAUGAGUUUGAAUUAUGAAUUGAGAGCAUGAACUAUUUAAAAUAUCUCUCUUAUUUACAAGUCUCUUAACUUCGUAAGAUAUGAUGUGUUCGAAAUGUGAUAUUGAAAAUAUAAUUCAAUAUAAAAGUCUUGACUUUGUUUAUUACUUGAUUAUAAUUUUUGAAUUGAAGAGAGAGAGUUUUACAUGUUGGUAAGUGCUGAAAAUAUAUAUAUAUAUAUAUAUAUAUGUAUGUAUGAAAAGAAAUUUCAUGGGUUGUUGAAACUCAUGACCACCACAUGUUUGUUGGAAUGAUUGAAAAGAAUGACCUUUGCAUAAUCUGAUAAAUAUUAUUGAAGAAUGAAUCUUUCGGAAUUGUUUGAAGUAUGGUGGUCUAUCCUUUUUAUUUUGAAAUAGAAAACUGUAAAGGAUAUUUUAUGGCUCAGAAUUAUGACUUGCAAGUCUUGGUAUGAUGAUACCAAAUCAGAUAAAGUCAUGAUAAAACUCAGAACAGGAUACAGAUUUCAUUUUAGAUUUCAAAUUUUGAAUUCAAAAAGAUGCAUGUUUAGAAUGGGUUAAAAAAUGGUCACUAAGGGGUCGUUUGGUAUAGCGUAUAAGAUAAUACUGAAUAGGUUGUAUUAGUAAUGCUGGGAUUAGUAGUGCAGGGAUUAGUACUACUAGGAAUAGUAGUACUAGGAUUAUUUUUUAUGCAGUGUUUGGUUUAAUGUAUUGAAAACAAUAUGUAUUGUUAUAUUUUAAAAAGAAUAUUUGUUUGUUUACAAAAAUACCCUCAACAUAUUAUAACUUUGUGUAUUUUCUUUGCAAAACUUUAUCAUUCUUUUUGUUUAAAUAAAAAAAUGAACAAUAUAACUAAUUAUUUACUUUGAAAUAAUUUUAAGAUUUAAUCAUUCACUUGCAAUUUUUUUUUGGGGUUUAUCUUUUCUUUAUUUGUUUAUCAUUUGCUUGUUGUUCCCAUUUUGUGGUGUUUUUAAGUUGGAGGGGGUACGUGUAACUUUUGAAUGAGACAAUAGAAUUAUUAUUAACAUAAAGUUGUGUUCGUUAGAGUGUUAAAGCUAUGUAGAAAAAUUAUUUUUAUUUAUGAAUAUCCUAUUUACAAAAUUAAAGCUAGUAUGCAAUCAUGCAAUUUAUUUUCGGAUUUUCAUCAAUAAGUAUUUUUUAAAGUUAAUGGAGAAGUUUUUGUAUGAAUAAAAUUAUUUGGAGGGAUAUUAUUAUCUUGAUAAAUUGAAAAGAAGUAACUCACAUUGAAUAAAUUGAAAAAGAUUUAGAAAAAAAUUAAUGAAAUUUGAGGCAUUAAUAAUAAUAAAAUUUGUAAACUAAUUUAUUUAAAUAAAUUCAUCAGUACAAAUAUAAAAAAUAAAACUAAGAAAAUAAAAAAAAUAUUUAAAAGAAUUUGAGCGAUAUUUUUGUCUUUACACAUAUUAGUCCAUGGUAUUAAAACUCAUGUAUUGCUAAUACCGCCAUAUGGGAUGUAUUAGUAAUACACCCUAUAACCAUAUAGGGUGUAUAACUAAUACAUGGUAUUAGUAAUACAUAGGUCCAUAAUUCUACAAAACAUAGUAUUAAGUAAUACCACACUUAAUACAUGGACUAUUUUUUUUAAUACGUCCUACCAAACGACCCCUAAGAGAGUUAGGUGGUUACCCGAAGAAGGAACGAGUCAUAUACUUCAUUUCCCAAAACCGUAUUUUACCGAUACGGGUAUAUUAUCAUACGCUGGCCCAGUCCCUCGGGCGUAUCAGAUUCAAAUAAUUUAACCCUUGCGGCAAACUUGGGUUGUUGGCUUGGCCGCCGAGUUAAUGGCGGAUCCCAUAUUACUCGUGGGGAACUUUUAGAUAUGUAGGGCGUACCAUUUACCUCAGAAGUAAAAAAUAAAGAAUGUUUUUACAUCUACCGAUUUGCAUUGAAUGAUUAUUUUAAGUUGCCCAUGUGUUUUAAAUUAUUUCUUGCUUAACAUUUUAAUGAAAUGCUCUCACCUAUGUAGUAUAUAAAAGUACAUUAUUUUGAAUUUCUCUGCGUACAAGUAUAUCUGUAUUGACCCCCCCUCCGUCUCAGGAUCUGAGGCACAUUCUCGGGGUCCAGUUCAGCAAUAGAUUUGAGUGCGUCGGAAGAUUCAAUUGGGGAGCCUCCCUUACUUCGGAAGGCUUGUAUUAGAACUUGUUAUUGUUAUUUCAUUUUGAUUCAUGGCCCUGCUGGGGGCUUAUCAAAGAUUUCAGACAAAUGUCAUUUUUAGUUGUUAGAGAUUUCGCAGACUGAUGUUAGACGUUGUUUAGAGGUUUAUGUUUUUCAUUCCAGAUUGUUCGAUUGAAUUAUGAUAUCGACCAUGAUUCUGUUUUUUUUUUUAUUGUAUUUCGGCAGUUCCUCUUUGUAAAUGAAUGGUGUAUAUGAUUGCAAGUUAGAAGGGCUCUCGGGCCUUCAUGGUUUGGGAUCCCCGUCACGGCCAGGGCCCCGGUUCGGGUCGUGACAGUUCCUUAUCUAGAGUUUGACGAACCUUUUGUAGGAUGUGAAAUCAUGUUAUGUUUUUAUAUAAUUGAGUCAUUCUAUUUACUUCUAUUUGCUUAACUUAACUACACAAUGAUUGUAGUUAAUUGAUGAAUGGCCAACGAUUGACCGUAGAGUGAUUUUGAAUUGUUUUUUAGACUUUUGGAAAGUCUUUUUCAAAUAUAAUUUUAUACCCCAAUUUUUAAAAACUAUCAAAAUCACCUAUAUCAUUGAAUGAACCAUAUAACAAAACCUCAUUCUUAUCAACAUUAUUGAGAUUUAGAAGUAACAAGCUUGAUGCAAUUUAAGUGAAUAGAUUGAUAGGUUAGCUAGGGUUAAUUCGAGAGAAUAACACUAGGAAAUUACUACACUUAUUAGUCGAGAGAUAUCACUUAACCUUUUUAGGGUGAGCUAUUGAUGUGAU